CUCAGAGUCAACUUCCAGUCCUCCAUUCUCCAUUCAAGAGAUAACUAGAAGUGUUAACAUCACUGCAACAACAUUUUAAGGAGACUCUGAGUUGAAGUAUGCAAAAAGGAGAUUAAAAGCCAGAGAAAACAUAUAAUGAUUUGAUAUUACACAGGUUUGUCUGAGUUUCCAGGAGAAGACAAGUGCGAUAAUGAAGAUGAGAGCAUAUUUAACCAGGUAAUAGAUGACAAUAUUCUAGACCUACAAAACAAAUGAAACCACGCAGAGAAGAAUCCCACUCCAUGUAUGGCACACAUUAUUCAGUCAAAGACUAAUCUGUGUGCUGCUCUGAAGGGAAUUUGCAGAUGUUAUUAAGGUUCCAAUUCAGUUGACCUUAAAAGAGGGAGAUCAUCCUGGGUGAAUCCAACCAAAUCAGGUAAACUUAUAAUAGGGACUGGAUUUUUCCUGGCAAAAUAAAUUUUAAAGAGUGAGACGAAUUUGAUGAGAAGAAGAUUCUCCACUGCUGGCUUUUACGAUGGAAGGCAUACGGCAAGGAACGUGGGGGAUCUCUACUAGCAGAAGCAGCCCCCAUCUGACAACCAGCAAGGAAAUAAGUACCUUAGUAUUACAAUUUCAAGGAACUGAAUUUUGUCAACAGCCUGAGUAAAUUUGGAAACAGAAUACUUCCCAGAGCCUUCAGAUGGGAGCUCAGCCUGGGUAACAUCUUGAUUUCACUUUAACUAGACCUUGAGCAGAAAACCCAGACAUGCAGUACCCGGACUUCUGACCCACAGAAACUGGUAGCAAAUAAAUUUGUACUGUUUUAAGCUGG
rnacentral:lncRNA from 1 species